CGCAGUUACAAACAGUUUUGCAUAUAUUGCUUGUUUCCUGCGAGAAAAUGGAGCAGCUACAGCUGGCGUAUCGGAUGAUAGAAUAAGCGGAAAGUGUGCCUUUGGUGAAACUGAAUACGACACCGGGGAUAACUGGUGCCAAAAUGGAACUGCUGUCACCUGCGCGGGAACCUGCGACACCCAGCCGGCACCGGAAGGCAGCCUAUCUGCGG